rnacentral:rRNA from 1 species
UGGGGAAUAUUGGACAAUGGGCGCAAGCCUGAUCCAGCCAUGCCGCGUGAGUGAUGAAGGCCCUAGGGUUGUAAAGCUCUUUCACCGGUGAAGAUAAUGACGGUAACCGGAGAAGAAGCCCCGGCUAACUUCGUGCCAGCAGCCGCGGUAAUACGAAGGGGGCUAGCGUUGUUCGGAUUUACUGGGCGUAAAGCGCACGUAGGCGGACUUUUAAGUCAGGGGUGAAAUCCCGGGGCUCAACCCCGGAACUGCCUUUGAUACUGGAAGUCUUGAGUAUGGUAGAGGUGAGUGGAAUUCCGAGUGUAGAGGUGAAAUUCGUAGAUAUUCGGAGGAACACCAGUGGCGAAGGCGGCUCACUGGACCAUUACUGACGCUGAGGUGCGUAAGCGAGGGGAGCAAACAGG